rnacentral:rRNA from 1 species
ACCGCCCGUCACACCAUGAGAGUCGAUAACACUCGAAGCCUGUAGUCUAACAGCAAUGAGGACGCAGUCGAAGGUGGGNUUAAAAAAAAGUAAUUAGGGCGAAGUCGUAACAAGGUAGC